CGGAGGAACAACUCCAGUGGCGGCGGCCAGCUCUGGAGCCCUGGAGUCAGCCCCCGCAGUAACUCCGGAGUUCUUGGUCUGCAGGGCCUGUGGGCUCCGGGGCGGG
rnacentral:pre_miRNA from 1 species